rnacentral:tRNA from 1 species
GGGGAUAUAGCUCAGUGGUAGAGCAUUCGACUGCAGAUCGCGAGGUCUCUGGUUCGAACCCGGGUGUCCCCU